rfam:Oryza nivara chromosome 5, whole genome shotgun sequence.
UUUAAGUACAACCAUGAGUUUCCACGCUCAACUUUGAUUGUCCGUCUUAUUUGAUUUUUUUUAUAAUUAAUAUUUUUGUUGUUAUGAGAUGAUAAAACAUGAAUAGUAUUUUACUCAUGACUUAUGUUUGUAGUUUUUAAAAAUAAGAUGGAUAAUAAAAGUUGAACGCGAAAAACCAUAGCUGCACUUAAA